rnacentral:rRNA from 1 species
AUCUAUUUACUGUGAACUGUAUUAUUAUUUGGCGCCUGAGGAAUGUUCUGCUGCUAUAAGGAUAGGCAGUAGAAAUGUUAACCGAGCCAUAAUCAAGCUUAGGCUUGGUAUCCUAUUAUUAUUUACCAAAAGAAUUCAGAAUUAAUAUUGUAACAUAGACCUAAAAAAUCUAUAAAACAACUUUUAACAACGGAUCUCUUGGUUCUCGCAUCGAUGAAGAACGUAGCAAAGUGCGAUAACUAGUGUGAAUUGCAUAUUCAGUGAAUCAUCGAGUCUUUGAACGCAACUUGCGCUCAUUGGUAUUCCAAUGAGCACGCCUGUUUCAGUAUCAAAACAAACCCUCUAUCCAACAUUUUGUUGAAUAGGAUGACUGAGAGUCUCCUGAUCAAUUCUGAUCUCGAACCUCUUGAAAUGUACAAAGGCCUGAUCUUGUUUAAAUGCCUGAACUUUUUUUUAAUAUAAAGAGAAGCUCUUGCGGUAAACUGUGCUGGGGCCUCCCAAAUAAUACACUUUUAAAUUG